AGGAAUUAUAUAUGACAGAAAAGAACUUUGAUAAUGCACCUGGUUUAGGCAAGUUUUCGGCGAAUCACAGUAGAAUUGAUCAAUAAUUCCACCCUCACA